AUUGGCAAAUAUUUCCACUCUAAGAAUUGAACCACAUAAGCAUAAUUAAAUCAGUCGUUUUUAGUUAAAGUUCAAGUUAUAAAAAUCAAUUGAAUUAUAUUUUUUGUUGACAGAUUUUUAUCACACUUUACUUCAUGUGGUGAGUCAACAAGGAAUUCCUUAAACUGUUUGACAAAUCAGUAAAUUUGCUUUAUUCAUCAAGGAAACUGUGCUCGAUAAAACAUGUUUAAGGAGGUAGAAUAAAUUUUUGCAAUCAGUGUUAUUUUUCUCCCAGUUACUGGUUUAAUUAGAGGUCCUUACAGGUACAUUUGCUGCUUAGCACGCUUAUACCUCGGGCCGGCUCCGCCACAGCCGCUCGAUGUCUCAGGUGAAAUCACAACCGGAGCCCACGUCAUUAAAUUCCACUUUAUUUUAUAUGCAUAUAACAAGGUACAGUUACAUAUUAUGACAGCUGCAUGUAUCAGAUAGAGGGAUUACAAAAAACAUGUUUAUAUAAAAAAGAGAAGAAAGCAAAAAACACAUUGAAACAUUUGACGAUUUCUUUUCCCAGGAGCACUUUAACGAGUAAACAGUAACAUUGAACUGAUCCAGAUUUGCAUUCCAACCUGGUUACAGGAUUUAACUUGUUCAUAUUUGAGAAAUUAAACUGAGCUCCAGAUUUUCAACUAAUAGCAUUACUGUUUCAUUGUGUAAUCUCUCUUUUUUUUAAACAUCUUGAAAAAGUUCAAGACCUUGAUCACAAAACGAUAACAGAUUUGGUUAAAGACGGAGGAUCUAUGUGUAGCAAUAAUCGACUGAUAGACUGCUGCUAUUUUCCUUUCCUAAAAAAACAAAACAAGCUGCCAUGUGUGUAAGUUGAGGAUCUUUAACUUGUUUCAAUCUCGUAUCAUUUCUUACAUUAUAAAUUAUAUUUUAAGGUGCUUCACAUCGGAAUGAAAGAGACAGCUGCAUGCUGUGCGCAAAGAAUUUUUAUGUUUUUAUUUUAUACUAAAAACGCCUGUCGUGGCAUUAAAUUUCAACCCAUUUUUCUUUUUUGGGAGAAACGUGUUUUUAAUUAAGUGGAAAGAAUUCAAAUAAAUGUUUGAAUUGUCUAAAAGGCAGAAAGAAAAACGCACGAUGCCCUAAAAGUGUCUUUUAUACUACACCAUCGAGAACGUUAUUACCCUUUAUGAAAACACAGAAAGCACCGACUGAUCCAGUGUAUAAUGUUGACAUGAUUCAAUUUGUAGUAAAUCGAAGUCAAUCCUUAUAAUAGUUAGAAAAAGAUACCGCUUUCAGCUGAGACAGUUGGUGCUGUUGUGCCCAUCAUAAGCACAGGACAUCUCUUUUUAUUAUUUUUGUUUUACAGAGUAAGUAUCUUAGGCAUCCAAAAACACAUCCUAUAUUUAGUGAUGGUUUUACAGACAUAAGUACACUUGGUGUGACACUUACAAGAGAAAAUAAAGACGAGCUUUACUGGAUUUUCAUGCAUUAAGAUCCUUAAGGAAAGAGGACCAAAAACUGGAAGCACAACGACUUGGGGACAUUUCUAUUCAUAGCACGUUUUACACAGAACAUUGUUACUUAAAAUGAAACAGGCAUUACAUAGCAGAGUAUUAUUGCCACGUUAAUUAUCUUUCCGGAGAAUACGGUGAGAAGGAGCCCAAACCAGCCGAUUACAAAAUGUAGAAACCCCUAACAGUCUGUGAUGCUGAAUUAGAAACAGGUUCGGCUAUUUUGGCAAAAAAAAAAAAAAAAAAAAAGGAAUUCAACCAAAGUUUGCGCCAUUAACAACCAACCUGCCUCUUAUGUGCUUUCUGCUUCAACCAACCCGACUUUAGCUCUGCUAAAAAUGAAUCCAAUCAGAAUGGGAAGGAGAGCGGCCCCAGGUAAAAAGCAGGCUAAGUCACUGCUUUGGGCCCCCCAGGCCAGCAGGGGGCCCCCCAAGAACCCUUUCACUAUCGCGCUAAUUCCAGCUGAUAUAUGUCAGCAGCCAAUGUUUACGCUCAUUUCUCAUGAUUGUGAGAAAUCGUGGCUUUUACGUGAGCCACGAUUUCAGAGUUUUAAGCUUAAGAUAACUUCCAUUUUUUUAAAUUUUCAAUUUAAUUUCAGUCAUGUCUGACGCAUGUUGUAGUUGCA